CUCACUCAGAUUUGCUUCUAUGCCCCCAUCCAUGUUCUCCGAUGCCCGGGGCAAGUCGGGGGCCAAGAAGAGGGCUGCCUUUGGGACACCAUAGGAAAUGUUCCUUCUCCAUCUACAGAAGCCCACACAGCACCUUUAGGGCCCAGAAAGCCCCUCCAGGAGGGUUUGGACUUAGAAAACAGACCAGAAAGAUCUGUCUCGCCUCCCUUUCUUCCUCUUUUUCUACUUGCCUUGAAGUCUGACCGAGUCCCCGAGCCAGCUGCUGCCUGGCGGAGCUGGAAGCGAAGGGUGUCAGAGAGAGGAGGACACUUCCCAGCCCUUGUCGCCAGCACCCCUCAAUUUACUCCAACCGUGAUGCAAAUUGUCAUGAUUUCAUGCAUCUCCUCUGAUGCCCUAGGUUCCCCGAGAGAGCACGGGGACGGCACGGAGCAGGCACCGCCGUGGUCCGGGGCAAAUCCCAUUGCUGACCGAGGUGGGGAGGGGACUUUCCAGCCCUCUGGAGCAGCAGGAGGCCACAGCACCAUCCCAGAGACCUCAAAGGAGAUGGCAGAGAUAUCAGAUCCAUGGUCCUCUCCCUUCACUAAUUCCUCCACCACUAUCAACAGCGAGCCCGGACUUAUAGCCAUAGAGCUGGGAGGAUCCUGGAGAGACCACCUGGUCCAGCCCACUGACAUGUAAGGAUGAAGCAAUUGGGACCCAAGAUGUUAAGGCUGGAUGUAGACCUGAAUGGUGCAUCAUGGAGACACAGUGAAAGAACUUGAGAAUGGGCUUGCUUGUUGGACUCUUUGACCUUUAUUAUUUUAUUUUUAUUAUUAUUUUUCCCACAGUCUCCUCUCACCAAGGCUGACUCUUCAACCUUUAAUAUCCCUUCUCCCAGCCCUGAGAGGACCCACUCUGAUGCAAGACUUCUCCCAGGUCCCCAGCACACAAAUGGUAGCUUUGAGAGCAGACAGGAUGUUAAGAAGGGUGAGGAGAGAUGGAAACGAUGUCACCAGAGCCCCUGGCCUGGCCACAUGGGAUCUCAGUAAAAUCAUUUUACUGAUCAAAAACUCAAUAGGUAUUCAUGUCCUAAGAAACUAUUAUGUGCCUAGACUGUUCUAGGUGUGUGUUAAGGGUGUAGGGGAAGCAGACGAGUGUAAGACACAUGGCUUGCCCUCAAGGCAUUGGCGGUCCUGUUAAGGAAAGAGAAGUGUGACAAGUUAGCUAACCAUUCAGUCCGGACAUGCCAGGAGGUACAGAGAGUAAGUGCAGGGUGAGGAGGCCGGGGAUGGGGACAGAUUCCUUGGGGAUGCAUAAGCAGGUGUAUCAGUCAGAAUAGGCUAAGUUACACUGGGGUAACAAAUGUCCGGAACUACCUGUGGCUCACAAUAGCAAUGGUUUGCAUCUGAUUUAUUCUAACUUGCUCUGUGUAGAUCAGCUGCAUUGUUCUCUUCAUUUUAGAACCCAGGCUGAGGCAACAGUCCCUCCCUAAGACAUUUCUAUUUGUCGCGGUGGCCAGAAAAGAGAGAACUGGCUGGUAAUGCUUCUGCUUGGGUGUGUGUUACUUGUCAUUUCUAUUCACAUUUCAUUGAGCGAGUCCCACGUUGAGUGUCAUUCCAUCUUAUGACCAAAACAAGCAACAUGGCCAAGCCCACUGUCAAUGGAACGGGGACAUACAGAACUUAUUCUUGAAUAAUAAUACCAUGUCCUACAGCAAAGAAAGCUUCCUGGGGAAGAAGCGACAUGACAUGGGCUUUGAAAGACAAAUGCAAUUUAAAGAAGAAAGGAAACAUGACAUUAAUUCAGAGAGGCAGCAUGUUCUAGAAGUCUAAAGAGUGGGCUCUAGAGGCAGGUUGCCCUGGGUUGAGUUGUGUCUAUACCUCAGUUUCCUUAUCUGUUUUAUGGGAACACUAAUAAAACAUACUUGAUACUUGUGAAUUCA
rnacentral:lncRNA from 1 species